rnacentral:rRNA from 1 species
AUGGGAACGCGAAGAACCUUACCUAGACUUGACAUCUCCUGAAUAGUGUAGAGAUACAUGAAGCCCUUCGGGGCAGGAAGACAGGUGGUGCAUGGUUGUCGUCAGCUCGUGUCGUGAGAUGUUGGGUUAAGUCCCGCAACGAGCGCAACCCUUAUCAUUAGUUGCUACCAUUUAGUUGAGCACUCUAGUGAGACUGCCCGGGUUAACCGGGGAGGAAGGCGGGGGAUGACGUCAAAUCAUCAUGCCCCUUAUGUCUAGGGCUACACACGUGCUACAAUGGUGAGAACAACGAGAUGCAAUACCGCGAGGUGGAGCAAAACUUCAAAACUCAUCUCAGUUCGGAUUGUAGGCUGAAACUCGCCUACAUGAAGUUGGAGUUGCUAGUAAUCGCGAAUCAGAAUGUCGCGGUGAAUACGUUCCCGGGUC